UUGGAGAAGUUUGAUCCUGGCUCAGAUUGAACGCUGGCGGCAGGCCUAACACAUGCAAGUCGAGCGGAUGAAGGGAGCUUGCUCCUGGAUUCAGCGGCGGACGGGUGAGUAAUGCCUAGGAAUCUGCCUGGUAGUGGGGGAUAACGUCCGGAAACGGGCGCUAAUACCGCAUACGUCCUGAGGGAGAAAGUGGGGGAUCUUCGGACCUCACGCUAUCAGAUGAGCCUAGGUCGGAUUAGCUAGUUGGUGGGGUAAAGGCCUACCAAGGCGACGAUCCGUAACUGGUCUGAGAGGAUGAUCAGUCACACUGGAACUGAGACACGGUCCAGACUCCUACGGGAGGCAGCAGUGGGGAAUAUUGGACAAUGGGCGAAAGCCUGACCAGCCAUGCCGCGUGUG
rnacentral:rRNA from 1 species